rnacentral:rRNA from 1 species
UAGGGAAUCUUCGGCAAUGGGGGCAACCCUGACCGAGCAACGCCGCGUGAGUGAAGAAGGUUUUCGGAUCGUAAAGCUCUGUUGUAAGAGAAGAACGUGUGUGAGAGUGGAAAGUUCACACAGCGACGGUAACUUACCAGAAAGGGACGGCUAACUACGUGCCAGCAGCCACGGUAAUACGUAGGUCCCGAGCGUUGUCCGGAUUUAUUGGGCGUAAAGCGAGCGCAGGCGGUUUAAUAAGUCUGAAGUUAAAGGCAGUGGCUUAACCAUUGUUCGCUUUGGAAACUGUUAAACUUGAGUGCAGAAGGGGAGAGUGGAAUUCCAUGUGUAGCGGUGAAAUGCGUAGAUAUAUGGAGGAACACCGGUGGCGAAAGCGGCUCUCUGGUCUGUAACUGACGCUGAGGCUCGAAAGCGUGGGGAGCAAACAGG